UGGGAUACACGUUUUUAAACAUCAUUUUGUGUGUAAGUGUGUAUUAGUACAUGCUAACGAUAUUCAAAAAGUACAUACCUCAAAGAAAACGAUGACGCGAGUUAUCGUCUCUAACGUUCGAGGACUACAAAAAACACUCGGAUUGUAGGCAACAGUUUACUUCCUGGGAUUAGUGACGUAGAUAAGACCAACAUUAUCAUAGUUCAGCCCUCUCUGCUUUGCUUGGGUACGCCCUCAAAGACGGGGGUGGGGAGCGCCGAGUCAGAAGAGAGCUAAAAUGGCGGAGGUUGUGAGUCCCUGCUUUGACUCUGUUUGCAAACUCUUGUUUCAUUGUUUAAGCGAUUAAAUCUCUCGAGUAGACGCUGUCUCUUUAGAUGCGAGGGCAAAAUAGCACUUUAUGGACUUACACAGAGGACAUCAUGUUUAAUACGGUUCCGGAAAAAUCCAGUCAGAAGUUGUUCACGGAGUUUUCACAAUAACUGCUUCUCAUGAACCGAAGCUGGAUUUGCGCGACGUCUCCUCUUGAAAGUUGGAUUACUGUGCACUUCUGGAUCACAGGCUAUUCGCAGCUGGACACAUCCUUCUACACUGUAUGCAAACAUGCAACAUCAUAACACACAGUACAAGGAGUCAGACUGGCAUAUGAGGAGCAAAGGAACCCAGCCAGUAGCAUCGUUUCACAAUGUUUCCAUCACCAUCAUCAGUGGAUGCCUUUGCCGUCCGUAGCCUGAGAUUUCAGAUUUGCAGCAAAAAAAAUGUUUUCUCAUUUAUUGGAAUGCUAUGCAGGUUGUACCUUGCAGCCAUCCAUUACAAUGUCACCAAGCCGUAACAAAAGCAGGAGAGGCAAAAGUACAAGGCUAUGUUCCCAAAACACACAAAUUACAUACCUUAUGUGGAGGAUGUGAUCAGGCUUGUGUUUGCUGAGGUAUUUGAAGAUAAGCUGAAGGAAGCCCUGAUUCCAAUGGACCUGGCAUCACAGUUUGAGAGACCUUCAAAGGAG